UCAAUAGUACGAACCGGAAAAACCAGCCCACCCCACCGGUUCCUCCUCCUCUCUCCUGCAUCUCCCAGACGUGCAGAACCAUCUAGGGCAAAAACCACACGCGCACAUGCCACCGUCGCCGCCGCCGCCCAUCCUCUCCCCCCGGCCCUCCAUCUCCAGCCAAGUCCUCUCUUCCGUGCUAGAGGCCUCCCCCGAUCUGAUGCAUCACCGUGGGAUGAGUCAUGGCGACGGUGACGGCGGACGGCGUGCUGUCGGGCUACCUAGUGGGGGUGGCAAUGCUUGACCGCACAUGGCGGGGCGCGCGUCCUGUGCUUGCGACAGCUGCUGAUGGUAGAGCAGAAGACUUGCAGGGGUAACCAUCUGCAAGCUCAACAUGAUCGUUCACAUGACCGUCGCCGUCGCGAGAUUUGUUAUCAAGUUGCAUACCUGCAUAUACAGUAGUGAACCACACACGUGAAUGGGAGAGGAGGGGAAGAAGAGGAUGCAUCCUGAAGACAGAGGUCGAGAAGCUUGCGGAGGCAGGAAGAUCGGGUACAAGGUGAGAAUCUCUAUAAACCCAUGUUUGCUGUUGUCUUGGCAGGCCUUGCCCCUCACUGCUCCAUCACCAGAGCCUCCAUCUUCCUAGAUCCCACUGUUCCGUGAUGAACAUAUCCCUUGCCACCGAACGCUCCAGUUGUGGUACACUCACAAUUCCAAAUGAUAGGGAUAUCACAAUUGCAAGUAAGAGUUGAAGGAAACCAUGUUCCAGCAGAUAAAAGUCUACAUAAGCUGGACUGAUGUUGUUAUUCCGAUCAUGGUUUUGUUUCUGCAGGCUUGACGGAUUAACUCCUUGGUGUACAUAAAGGCAAGGGACGUAGUUAGUUGUCUUCCAAAUUCUGACGGUUACUCUGGGUUUCAAGGCUUGUUUAGUGUGGCAUAUGGUGCUCCUAAGUCAUGCAAUGGAUGCACAAUAUGUAUCAUUCUGUACUGGAUUGCAGAGAUUUUAGAAGUAAUUAUUUGAUGGCUUUUGAGACUUUGUUUCUAUAUCAUCUUCUAGAUAGCCAAACUGAAUCGCUCCGUAGACUAGCAGAUCCACUAAAUUGGUGCAGUGGAUGCUAAUUUCCAAGGCAACACCAAUAUGAGCAUAAGGACCAUCAAAUGUAUCAUGUAUGAUUUGUUCAAGGAAUACUAGAUUAUCCUCCCCGCAGAAAGGACUAUCAGAGGUUUCAUGUUGCAUUGCUUCUAGAUGGCAAGUCCGACCAAUUGUUGAGAUUUAUGUGAAUAACCAUUCUGGUAAGAAGUUCACGCAGAGUGUGACAAAAGGGUUGGGUCAAAAUAAAGUACAUGUAUUACUAAAA